ACUCAGUUGACGAGUCCUAAAUAGGACGAAACAUGCGUCCUAGAU
rnacentral:hammerhead_ribozyme from 1 species